rnacentral:rRNA from 1 species
GACGAACGCUGGCGGCGUGCUUAACACAUGCAAGUCGUACGGUAAGGCCCUUUCGGGGGUACACGAGUGGCGAACGGGUGAGUAACACGUGAGUAACCUGCCCACAACUUUGGGAUAACGCUAGGAAACUGGUGCUAAUACUGGAUAUGUGCUCCUGCUGCAUGGCGGGGGUUGGAAAGCUCCGGCGGUUGUGGAUGGACUCGCGGCCUAUCAGCUUGUUGGUGGGGUAGUGGCCUACCAAGGCGGCGACGGGUAGCCGGCCUGAGAGGGUGACCGGCCACAGUGGGACUGAGAUACGGCCCAGACUCCUACGGGAGGCAGCAGUGGGGAAUAUUGCACAAUGGGCGCAAGCCUGAUGCAGCAACGCCGCGUGCGGGAUGACGGCCUUCGGGUUGUAAACCGCUUUCAGCAGGGACGAAGCUUUUUGUGACGGUACCUGCAGAAGAAGCACCGGCUAACUACGUG